rnacentral:rRNA from 1 species
GGAUAACUACCCUUUAGGACCGGGAUAACCCUGGGAAACUGGGGCUAAUACUGGAUAGGCAAUUAUUCCUGCAAUGGUUUUUUGUUUAAAUGUUUUUUCGCCUAAGGAUGGGUCUGCGGCCGAUUAGGUAGUUGGUUAGGUAAUGGCUUACCAAGCCGUUGAUCGGUACGGGUUGUGAGAGCAAGAGCCCGGAGAUGGAACCUGAGACAAGGUUCCAGGCCCUACGGGGUGCAGCAGGCGCGAAACCUCCGCAAUGUGAGAAAUCGCGACGGGGGGAUCCCAAGUGCCAUUCUUAACGGGAUGGCUUUUCAUUAGUGUAAAGAGCUUUUGGAAUAAGAGCUGGGCAAGACCGGUGCCAGCCGCCGCGGUAACACCGGCAGCUCUAGUGGUAACAAUUUUUAUUGGGCCUAAAGCGUCCGUAGCCGGUUUAAUAAGUCUCUGGUGAAAUCCUGUAGCUUAACUGUGGGAAUUGCUGGAGAUACUAUUAGACUUGAGACCGGGAGAGGUUAGAGGUACUCCCAGGGUAGAGGUGAAAUUCUGUAAUCCUGGGAGGACCGCCUGUUGCGAAGGCGUCUAACUGGAACGGUUCUGACGGUGAGGGACGAAAGUUAGGGGCGCGAACCGGAUUAGAUACCCGGGUAGUCCUAACUGUAAACGAUGCGGACUUGGUGUUGGGGUGGCUUUGAGCUGCUCCAGUGCCGAAGGGAAGCUGUUAAGUCCGCCGCCUGGGAAGUACGGUCGCAAGACUGAAACUUAA